GUGCAAGUCUUAUGUAACCACAGCUCAAAGAAAGGCUUACUUCGGUGAGAACAAUUUAUGCUUCAAUUGCGGUAGCCCGGGGCAUAGGGCUAGACAUUGUAGGAGUCGUGGGUGCUAUCACUGUGGGGAGAAACAUCAUACCAGUCUACAUGAUCAGAAAGAGAACGACGGUGAUGGUACAGUACUAACAGGCUACUCAACAACAACAGACGAGAUUACAUUACCCCCAUAAUCCCAGUUAAGGUGGAUGGAGAAGUUUUCUGGGCAUUUUUGGACACAGGAUCGGGCAGGAAUUUUAUUUCAAAAGAAGCAGUAAAGAAACUUCAAGUUUCUGCAGCACGACAUGAAUCGAAAGAAACCAUCACCAUUAAUGGAACAAAAAGACAGUCCAUGCCUAUUUACAAUGUAACUAUUGAAUCAUUAGAUGGAUCAACCAAGGAAGAUAUAGAGCUAGCCGGGUCGACAAUGAAAGAUUUCACAACAGUGAAAAGACCGGACAUGAACAAACUUAAAUGGAAUUAUGAACACACAAAGGAUAAGAGGUUUUCAUGACAAGAGAUGGUGAAUAUCCAAUACACAUGAUCUUAGGUGACAACACCUUCUGCAAGAUUAAGACAGAGGAAAUCUACAAAGGAAAAGAUGACGAUCCUAUCGUUGAAGGUACUUCGUUUGGUUGGAUUGUUCAUGGUGGAGAUAUUUCGAACAAUGUGUGUAUGUUUACAAGAGAACCAAAUGACUACGAGCAAUUUUAUACACUGGAUGUAGUUGGAAUUGAAGGUAGAGGGGAGAACGACCAACUGGACGUUUAUCAUGAAUUUAAAGAAAACAUUACUCGGGCUGAUGACGGUAGAUAUCAAGUCAAAGUACCAUCGAUUCCAGGACAGUCUUUACCAAAUAGCAAUCUAGAACCAAGUGGAAAGCGAUUAGCUAACGUAUGCAAAAAGAUCGAGCGAGAUGAGAAGGUAAACAACAAUUAUGAUGAAACAAUCGAGAAGCAAUUAGAAUCGGGUAUCAUUGAAGGUGCACCAGUGAAACCGAAUGGUGAACGAGUAUAUCAUAUACCCCACAAACAUGUUGUCAGAGAGGAGGCAAAUAAAGCCAAAGAUAGCGCGGAGAUUCCCGAGAAUUUUAGAAAUUUUGGACUGGUCGGUGAUAGUUCGGAAAAUCCAUGGUUUUUGAACGAUGGAAGAGUAAGAGAAGACAUGAAUGAGGAGCUGAGGAACAUGAAAAUACACCAGAACGGUUGAGAAAACUGAAGGCAGUAACUGCGGAAGAAACAAAGGAAGGACAAGGUGAUGAAGACGAAAAUGCUUCCGAUAAUUCUGACCAAGAUGAAACAUUUGAAUUGAUGGAUGAUGAGGGGAGCAAAGAGAAAAGAAAGAAAUUGAAAGGAGAUAAGGUUGACAACAUCAUCAGGGAAAAACGCAUAAAAAAGAAAAGGAAAAUCAAAGGAAAGAAGAAAAAAGUUCUUUCGAAAGGACAUACUGAGGAAGUAAAUGAUGUUGAGAGGAAAAGAGAAGAAAACGAAGUAGAGAACCUUGAGGAAAAUGGCAUAAAAACGAAAGGGAAAGUGAAAAGUAAUGUUGUUUCACAGGGAAACACUAAAGAAACUAGUAGUGUUGAAAAGACAAGUGAACGUAAGAAAAAGAAAAGAAGAAUUACAGACGAAAGUAGAAUGAAAGAAACGUGUUGGAGAAAAGCAAGAAAGCAAAGUUGGUGAAGAGUGGGACUGACGAGGACAAUAUGCAAACCGGAGAUUUGGACGAAAAGAACCGAGAACGGUGGAUGAAAGGCAAAGUUGUGAAGUACGUGAAAGGAAAGGACGGUGUAAUUAGAGGAGUUAUUGUAUUACAUAAAGGUAACUAUUUGAAACGACCUGUUCAGCUAGUAUGUCCUUUGGAGAUAAGGAGCGUGGUUAAGGAAGAUCAAGGAAGAGACAAUGAAAGUACUGAAGACAAUGAUGAUAAAUUAAAGAAAAGACCAGAACCCCUUUAAUCGUCCUUCAACUGUUCUCUGAUGUUAACUUUCGCGAUCUUUGCUGCUUUCUGCAAGAUAUUUAAUAUCUUCGGUUCAGUGCAUGCUAUGAAGACAGAAAUACCACCAUUCGAUUCAGAAAGAAAAGAUUCAACUAAUUCCUCCCUAUAGUUAUAGUCAUUAUCAACAUUGUAGCGAUUUAUGGGCCUUUGAAGUCAAACACGAUCAUAUUGUAUCAAAUUACGCAAUUGUCUGAACAAAAAUAUAGACUAGCCAUACCUUUUGCCGAAAAUAACUUCGGCCCCUUCGAACAUAUCGUCUUUGUAAUAGUCUUGUUAAAAUCCCCAUUAAAAACACUACUUAGAGUGUUAUUUGCAAGCCUGUAUCUUCAAAUCUGUAUCUUUUAUCAAUAUAUUUUUAUUUCUUGCCCGACUGUGAGCUCGAAGUGAGUUAAUCCCAACCGGAAAUACGACUGAAAAUCGUCAAAACAAUGCGAAGCUUGUAUUGAAUGACCCUGCAAAGGCCAGAAAUGGAUUCGCAAGGUCAAAUUGCACCUACACGCGUGAGUUUGACGUCAUACCGGCCAACAGGAGCUUCUUAUUGGCCAAUUAUUGCGCAAUGUUCGCAAGUGCGAGUAAAACCCGAUAUCUUGAAAAAUUCAAAAUAAAUAUUUCUAGUCGGCGUAUACAUACGAAACUUUCUACACAAAAGCGCUUGAAUACAAAGAGUAUUUUACACAUAUAGCCGUUCAGCAAAUGACGAAAUGUUCAAAGAGAUAUUCAAGAUCUUGUGUAUAUGAAAUUUAGAAUCUUUGGCCAAGCGGUGAGUAAAUAUAUGAUUGUUUCGGUUUGUGU
rnacentral:lncRNA from 1 species